CUGGAUAUACCCCAUAGACCAUGAGAUCUGGAAUGACUCAUGGUUCAAAGUUCCGGCGCUUUAGGAUCGGUCUGCGGCCUAUCAGGUAGUAGUGGGUGUAACGUACCCCCUAGCCUAUUACGGGUAUGGGCCUUGAGAGAGGGAGCCCAGAGUUGGAUUCUGAGACACGAAUCCAGGCCCCACGGGGCGCAGCAGUCGCGAAAACUUCACAAUGGGCGAAAGCCCGAUGAGGGAAUUCCUAGUGCUAGCACUUUUGUGUUAGCUUUUCUUUAGCGUAGAUAACUAGAGGAAUAAGGGCUGGGUAAGACGGGUGCCAGCCGCCGCGGUAAUACCCGCAGCCCGAGUGGUGGUCGAUUUUAUUGAGUCUAAAACGUUCGUAGCCGGUCUGAUAGAUCCUUGGGUAAAUCGGGGGGCUUAACCUUCCGAAUUCCGAGGAGACCGUCAGGCUUGGGAUCGGGAGAGGUAAGAGGUACUUCAGGGGUAGGGGUAAAAUCCUGUAAUCCUUGGAGGACCACCGGUGGCGAAGGCGUCUUACUAGAACGAAUCCGACGGUGAGGGACGAAGCCCUAGGUCGCAAACGGGAUUAGAUACCCCGGUAGUCUAGGGUGUAAACGCUGCAGACUUGGUGUUGGAGGCCCUUCGGGGGCAUUCAGUGCCGGAGAGAAGUUGUUAAGUCUGUUACUUGGGGAGUACGUCCGCAAGGAUGAAACUUAAAAGGAAUUUGGCGGGGGAGCACCGCNANCGGGAGGAGCGUGCGGUUUAAUUUGGAUUCAACACCG
rnacentral:rRNA from 1 species